AAAAUAUGCACAAAAACAAUUAAUUCAUGAAAAAUGCCAAAAUUAAUCCAAAAAAUAAUUUUAAUUUAGAAAAUGAAAGAGGAGAAUAUUUAGAGAUUUUUGGUGAAAGUCCCAUAUUUUUUGGAUUAAAAAUGAAAUUAAUAUGAAUUAAUCAAAAUAAAUGGAUUAAAUGAAAAAUCAUAAAAUAAAAAUAAAAUAAAAAAAACAAGGGACAUCAGAUCUCCCUCAUUAAUUUAGGUGGCAAAUCAGAUGGCUAAAAGCGC
rnacentral:lncRNA from 1 species